GUUAAAUUGGCAGAAUUUAAGUGCAUUGAAUUUAGGUUUCAAAUAUAAUACAAAUAUUAUUUAACA
rnacentral:tRNA from 1 species